UAAACCAACAAGAAUUCACAACAACCAAGCACACACACAAGAAAAACAAGAAAGCGAAUAAAGGACACAUAGAUUUAACGAGGUUCACUAUCAACGUGAUAGCUACGUCCUCAAGGCAGGGAAAAAGAUUGUUUCACUAUGAACGAGACGAUUACAAAUACAAUAGGCAAGAUUCAAUUGAAUUGAAUCUCAAAGACUCUCUCUAAUCUCCUCUAUUGUGUUUUCUCUAAUCUCUCUCUCUAGUAUUUUGUGGUUAAAAGCCCUAAAUAUGGCAAAACAUAUUUAUAUGAAGUCUAAGAUACAAGCCCUAAGUCGUAAAAUAAAAAACGGAAAAUCCCGCAUCCCCGAUAGGUGCGGGCGCACCACCUUCUGGUGCGGGCGCACCAACUCCUGGUGCGGGCGCACCAAUCUGAUGUGCGGGCGCACAAAAGUUUCUGCCUCAACUUGAAAUCUGUCGUAGCGAAUGUGCGGGAGCACCACUACUUGGUGCGGGCGCACCUGACAUGGUGCGGGCGCACCGACAUUUGGUGCGGGCGCACCAUUCGUGCCAAGCCAUUCUUCUCUCGCGCAAGUCACACUUCACAAUUCCAUUGACACUACAGGCUAUGAUGCAGUUAGUGAUGCUGUUACAGCCAGAGACAAUUUGGUGUUUUUGAGGAGGUGGUUCAACAAGUUUCCACAGUAUAAACACAGGGAUCUUUUCAUUACGGGAGAAAGUUAUGCAGGCCACUAUAUUCCUCAGCUUGCAAAUCUCAUGGUUGCAUUCAACAAAAAGAAGUUGUUUAACUUAAAAGGAACAGCGGUAAGUGUCCAUUAAUGUUAUUUCAUCUUCGAAAAGGUUUAAAUUAUAAGUUAUCAGAUACAAUGGCUACUAUAUGUAGUACUUCACCUAAGUGAAAGAGAAUGUGAUGAAAUGGAAAAACAGAGGAAGAGAAAAAAGUCAAGAUAGUUUGUGAAAAUUGUACUGAAUAUGAUUAUUCAAUUUUUUGGCAUUGUAUCUCCAUUUUAAAAUCUUGUAAAAAAACUAAUAUUUUUUAUUUAUUUUUGAUGGGUCAUUAGGAUUGAGAGUGAGAGUAUGAAACAAAAUUGUAUGAUUAAUGUAGGAGGUGAUGAGAUUGAUGGUGGGAAUUAAUGUUAAACUAAAGUUUGAGUAGUAAAAAGUAAAAAGUAAAAAGAGGUUGAAGAAUAAGAGGAGAGAGAAAAGAAGGUGAUGAAUGAGAGGAGAGAGAAAAGAGUUUGGAAUUUUUAUAAUUAAUGUCAUGUCAGCUUUUUCUUUUUAAUUAAUGCCAUGUCACAUUUUUUUUUUAUUUUUGGGGAUGUUAACGGUACAAAACAAAGUUCAGUACCUUAAGUUAACAGACAUCCAAUUUGAGUACCUUAACUGGUACUUUUGAAAGUUCAGUACCUUAACUGAUACUUUCAUCAAAGUUCAGUACCCUCCUGGAUACUUAACUCUGUUAAAAUGAUAUAUUGUAUGUUAAAAUAAUAUAGUAUAUGUUAAAAAAUAUAGUACUCCAUCUGUAUUUUUUUUUUAUCAUUCUCACUUUCCUAUGCGCGUCUCCCAAUGCACCUCUUUGAACUUAAAUAUCUUUCCUUAUAUAUUAGUAAAAAUUAUAACAAUUGAAUAUUAAUAAUGUACUAAUUGAGACGAAUCAAACAAGAUCCCACAUGACUAUAUUUUUUCUUAUAAAUUGAAAAAAAUUGAGAAGAUUCUCUCUAAGUAUGAAUAGUGCCAAGAUUCCAAGUGAGAAAGAUAAAAAAAACAAAG